GAAGGUGCUUCGGGCGAGACCCCGGUCCAAGUCCCUUGGAACAGGGCGUCGCAGAGGGUGAGAAUCCCGUACGCGACCGGGGGGAGAGCCCGUGUGAAGCCCUUUCGACGAGUCGAGUUGUUUGGGAAUGCAGCUCUAAAUGGGUGGUAAAUUUCAUCUAAAGCUAAAUAUCUGCCGGAGACCGAUAGCGCACAAGUAGAGUGAUCGAAAGAUGAAAAGCACUUUGAAAAGAGAGUCAAACAGUACGUGAAAUUGUUGAAAGGGAAGCGCUUGCAACCAGACUCGUUCGCGGGUGCUCAGCUGUCCUUCGGGGCGGUGCACUCUCCCGCGUUUCGGGCCAGCAUCGGUUUUGGCGGCCGGAUAAAGGCCCUGGGAACGUAGCUCUCUCCGGGGAGUGUUAUAGCCUGGGGUGCAAUGCGGCCAGCCGGGACCGAGGACCGCGCAUUUGUUAGGAUGCUGGCGUAAUGGUUGUUAGCGACCCGUCUUGAAACACGGGCCAAGGAGUCGACCAAUCGGGCGAGUUUUAGGGCGUCAAACCCUGAAGCGUAAUGAAAGUAAAUGCAGGUGGGAGCCUUCGGGUGCACCAUCGACCGAUCCUGAUGUCUUCGGAUGGAUUUGAGUAUGAGCCCGGCUGGUCGGACCCGAAAGAUGGCGAACUAUGCGUGAAUAGGGUGAAGCCAGAGGAAACUCUGGUGGAGGCUCGCAGCGGUUCUGACGUGCAAAUCGAUCGUCAAAUUUGCGCAUAGGGGCGAAAGACUAAUCGAGCCAUCUAGUAGCUGGUUCUCGUCGAAGUUUCCCUCAGGAUAGCAGCAACGAAAACAGUCUCAUGAGGUAGAGCAAACGAUUAGAGGUCUUGGGAUUAAAAUUAAUCUUAACCUAUUCUCGAACUUCGAAUAUGUGAGAAGUCCUUGUUACUUAGUUGAACGUGGACAUU
rnacentral:rRNA from 1 species